AUAUGACACUUAAGUAUCACAUGAUACAUAAGUCAAAUCGAUUUAGAGGUAUAGGAUGAGUUCGCGUCUGAUUAGCUAGUUGGUAAGGUAAUGGCUUACCAAGGCGACGAUCAGUAGCCGGCCUGAGAGGGUGAACGGCCACACUGGAACUGAGACACGGUCCAGACUCCUACGGGAGGCAGCAGUGGGGAAUAUUGCACAAUGGGGGAAACCCUGAUGCAGCGACGCCGCGUGAGUGAAGAAGGUCUUCGGAUCGUAAAACUCUGUCCUUGGUGAAGAAAAAAAUGACGGUAGCCAAGGAGGAAGCCCCGGCUAACUACGUGCCAGCAGCCGCGGUAAUACGUAGGGGGCGAGCGUUGUCCGGAUUUACUGGGCGUAAAGGGUGAGUAGGCGGUAAUAUGUGUCAGAUGUAAAAGGCGUAGGCUCAACCUAUGUUAGCAUUUGAAACUGUAUUACUUGAGUGCAGGAGAGGUAAGUGGAAUUCCUAGUGUAGCGGUGAAAUGCGUAGAUAUUAGGAGGAACACCAGUGGCGAAGGCGACUUACUGGACUGUAACUGACGCUGAGUCACGAAAGCGUGGGUAGCAAACAGGAUUAGAUACCCUGGUAGUCCACGCUGUAAACGAUGAGUGCUAGGUGUUGGGUAGCGAUAUUCAGUGCCGAAG
rnacentral:rRNA from 1 species